AGUUUGAUUCAUGGCGUCAGGACGAACGCUGGCGGCGCGCCUAACACAUGCAAGUCGAACGAGAGAGAGGGAGCUUGCUUCCUCGAUCGAGUGGCGAACGGGUGAGUAACGCGUGAGGAACCUGCCUCAAAGAGGGGGACAACAGUUGGAAACGACUGCUAAUACCGCAUAAGCCCACGGCUCGGCAUCGAGCAGAGGGAAAAGGAGCAAUCCGCUUUGAGAUGGCCUCGCGUCCGAUUAGCUAGUUGGUGAGGUAACGGCCCACCAAGGCGACGAUCGGUAGCCGGACUGAGAGGUUGAACGGCCACCAUUGGGACUGAGACACGGCCCAGACUCCUACGGGAGGCAGCA
rnacentral:rRNA from 1 species